rnacentral:lncRNA from 12 species
CCCUCCCCCCCCCCACCCCUUUAAUACUGAAUGAGAUCGAAUGUUAGGUCCAUGCAGUUCUUGGUCAAUGUUAAAGAAAAGUCUAACGUUCUGUUCGCGCGGGGACAGCCCGUCCGCAAAGCGGGGCAGCCCGCGGGCAGCCGCUCCCUGGCCCCGUGCCAGGGGAGGGCGCGCCAAGUCCUUCCCACUCGUGCACACUGGGGGCGCCGUCAGGACGCCGCCCAGUCCAACUUGGAUACCCUUGGCUUUAGUCCUUGGACACUUCUUGUCUCUCUCGCUCUCUCUUGCAACUUGUCAAGUUCUCAAGUUCUCUCGCUCUCGCUCUCUGUGUGUGUGUGUGGUUUUUUUUUUUCUCCUCUCUCUCUCUCUCUCUCUCCUCUCUCUCGGUUGCCCCUCAAGCCCCCGACAGUCUGUCCUCAAAACGUUUGCAACUGCUGCGUUAGCAUGAGCUGGCACCCACUGUUAACGUGAUUCAUGACUUUCUGUUUAAGCUGUGCCACCUGUUCCCUGAGCAUGUUGGCCGUGGACGCCAGCUCCGAGUUCUGCGCUUUCAAGGUUUUCACUUUUUCCUCCAGCCGGGCGAUCCUCUCCAGCUUCCUUUUCCGGCACUUGGAGGCAGCUAUGCGGUUCCUCAUGCGCUUCCUCUCGGCCUUGAUCCUCUCUUGCGACUCCAUGUCGAUGGGGGACAGGGGCGGCGUCUCCCCGGGCAUCUCGGGCACCGUCUGCGGCUCCUCCUUCAGGGCCUGCAGGCGCGGGUGCUGCACGGGGAGCUGCUGGGGCAGGUGGUGCGGCGCUUGCGGGGGCUGCUGCGGCUGCUGCUGCUGCUGCUGCUGCUGGGGCUGCGCGGGAAAGGCCAGGCCGGCCGCGCCGUAGGAGGGCGCCCCGCCGCCGCUGCUCAGCGCGCCCGGGUUGAAGUUGCUGAGGUUGGCGUAGACCGGCGGCUCGCUGUGCAGGCCCGCGCUGAAGCCGCCGCCGCCGCCGCCGCCGCCCGCCGCGGAGGCCACCGCCGGGGCCACCAUGCCCGCGCCGCUGACCGGCUGCGCCGCCGACGUGACGCUGGGCAGCGUGUUCUGGCUGUGCAGCUCGGCCAGGGCGCGCACGAAGCCCUCGGCGAAGCCCUCCUGCUCGUCCGUCACGUUCUUGGGGCACAGGAACUGCGUGGGGGUCGGCGUGGUGGUGAUGUGCCCGUUGCUGGACUGGAUGAUCAGGCGCUCCAGCUCGGGCGAGGCCAGCUUGAGCAGCCCCACGUCGGGCGAGGUGAGCAGGUCCGAGUUCUUGGCCCGGAGGUGCGGCUUCAGGCUGCCCACCGGGUCGGCCAGGUUCAGGGUCAUGCUCUGCUUCAGGAUCUUGGGGUUACUGUAGCCGUAGGCGCCGCUCUCGGACUGCAGGAACGAGGCGUUGAGGGCAUCGUCGUAGAAGGUCGUUUCCAUCUUUGCAGUCAUAGAACAGUCCGUCACUUCGCGCGGGGUUACUUUGGGCUGCGCGCAGAAGUUUCGGGGCCGCAACAGCGCGCUGGCGAGCGGGGGACCCCCGCGCCUCCCGGGUGGGGGGGGCGGCCCUGGGCUAGAGGAAAGUUUCUGGAGGGGCGCGCGCUCCCGCCGGCGGUCCUCCCCCCGCGCCCCGCUCACCGGCCCCCUCCCGCCCCCCGUUGA